GGUGGUUCCAGCAGUGUUUACCUGGCGCAGGUUACCCCCACACUCAUUAUACAACUCCAUGAACUCUGGGUACUCCCUACAGAGAGAUGAUCUUAACAUCAGAGACGAUAACUCACCCGAAACUGCUAGUCUAAGUGGGGGCGACAUAUAUGGUCGGACACGAUAGUUCAGCCACUGACUAUAGUGGAUCUCUCCUGCAAUGUGUCGUAAACCUUCACUGUCUCCACACAAAGCUGCUAAAUGUAGUGUGACAUCUUCCUCAUCAUCUGCAUCUACCAAGUGGUUCAUCAUAUAGGCUUGUGCAGAGACCUGCUCUGGCAGUGCCAUUAUUUCGGCCAUUCUUCUUCAAGUUGUCCUCCUUAAAGUAAACAUGAAUCGAUGUGUCUUAACAUUAAUCAUAACAUGGAACAUUUGCACAUCAGAAUCUAUUGUAAGACUUUUCUGAAAACCUCAAUAAACAAAAAAAAUCCUUUCACUGCUAUGUUGAAACAAUAAUAAUAAUAAUCACUCAACUUUAAAUUAAUAGCAUUAAUUUGAUAUUUCAAUUUUAUAUAUGAUGUACCUAGGUUGUACUAACAGUAAGGAGGCGUAUCACUUGUCACAACAGGAAAAAGAAAUAGUAUUAACAGACACCGAAUAUGAAAAGGACCUGGCUGUGUAUGUUGACAACGAACUGAAGUUCUCGGGCCAUUGUGAGAAGGUGAAUCAAGCAACUAAACUAGUAGGUCUUAUAAGAAGGUCAUUCAGAUACUGUAUCUAGAUUGUCCGUCCCUUGUAACUCUCUUAAAGAGACAAUCAUAUAAUGUCCAAAGGACAUUAUUACUUUACUUUUAUACUGUUAUCUUCUUUGCCACUGAUCGGCUCGUUAGCCGCUUGGCGAUCGGUCAUGUCUCUGUUACGCACUGUUGGCAAGUACUGGCCAUGCACCAGCUCCUGAAUAUAUUGGAAUCUGCUCCAGUGUUGGUCAAGUCUGGCCUUGAAUGAGCUCACACUCGGAGCUAUCACAACGUCUUUCGCAUUUGAAUUUAUCCUCCGAGCCAUUGAUUGACACUAGCAGGUCGGGCUAAUGUUCAAAAACUAAAACACAUACAAUACUGUACUGUACUCUCUAACCUAGUUUACUUAGACACUGAAGGUUAUGCUUCAAGAACAAACAGCUUAAGAUCAGUUUACUUCAACGGAUGUACUUUUUUUUAUGGGAACUACACCAAUUUGUUUUUAUUGUGUCAGUCACAACUUAACUAAUCUCUCUGGGUAACAGAGAUGUCAUAGAGCAAGCACCAUUCUUUCAACAUUAUCAAUUAACUGGCAGUCUCUGGCAUAGGCUCAUCUCCUAUCAUUAACACAAACUUAACAUGUAAUAAAUUAAACUAUAAUGAACAUGUUCCUGCUACAGUUAAAAGACUCAGAUAAAACUUAUGGAUAAUAUAGACAACUGACCCGUAGAUGA